rnacentral:rRNA from 1 species
GUGUCGAACGGGUGAGUAACACGUGAGCAAUCUGCCCUUGACUCUGGGAUAACUGCGGGAAACUGUAGCUAAUACCGGAUAUUACCUUGGAAGGCAUCUUCUGGGGUGGAAAGAAUUUUGGUCAAGGAUGAGCUCGCGGCCUAUCAGCUAGUUGGUGAGGUAAUGGCUCACCAAGGCGACGACGGGUAGCCGGCCUGAGAGGGUGACCGGCCACACUGGGACUGAGACACGGCCCAGACUCCUACGGGAGGCAGCAGUGGGGAAUAUUGCACAAUGGGCGCAAGCCUGAUGCAGCAACGCCGCGUGAGGGACGACGGCCUUCGGGUUGUAAACCUCUUUUAGUAGGGAAGAAGCGACUGGGUUUUCCUGGGAGUGACGGUACCUGCAGAUAAAGCACCGGCUAACUACGUGCCAGCAGCCGCGGUAAUACGUAGGGUGCAAGCGUUGUCCGGAAUUAUUGGGCGUAAAGAGCUCGUAGGCGGUUUGUCGCGUCUGCUGUGAAAACCCGAGGCUCAACCUCGGGCCUGCAGUGGGUACGGGCAGACUAGAGUGCGGUAGGGGAGAUUGGAAUUCCUGGUGUAGCGGUGGAAUGCGCAGAUAUCAGGAGGAACACCAAUGGCGAAGGCAGAUCUCUGGGCCGUAACUGACGCUGA